rnacentral:rRNA from 1 species
UACCAGCACCCCGAGUGGUCGGGACGAUUAUCGGGCCUAAAGCAUCCGUAGCCGGUUCUACAAGUCUUCCGUUAAAUCCACCUGCUUAACAGAUGGGCUGCGGAGGAUACUAUAGAGCUAGGAGGCGGGAGAGGCAAGCGGUACUUAGUGGGUAGGGGUAAAAUCCGUUGAUCCAUUGAAGACCACCAGUGGCGAAGGCGGCUUGCCAGAACGCGCUCGACGGUGAGGGAUGAAAGCUGGGGGAGCAAACCGG